ensembl:lncRNA
CUCUGGGUCUUCCCUCCCUCCCAGUACUGAUCCUCAGGUGUCUGACUGACUGGGUCUUCCCUCUCUCCCAGUCCUGAUCCUCAGGUGUCUGACUGACUGGGUCUUUGGGUCAUCCCUCUCUCCCAGUCCUGAUCCUCAGGUGUCUGACUGACUGGGUCUCUGGGUUUUCCCUCCUUCCCAGUCCUGAUCCUCAGGUGUCUGGCUGACUGGGUCUCUGGGUCUUCCCUCCCUCCCUGUCCUGAUUCUCAGGUGUCUGACUGACUGGGUCUCUGGGUCUUCUCUCCCUCCCAGUACUGAUCCUCAGGUGUCUGGCUGACUCGGUCUCUGGGUCAUCCCUCCCUCCCAGUACUGAUCCUCAGGUAUCUGGCUGACUGGGUCUCUGGGUCUUACCUCCCUCCCAGUCCUGAUCCGCAGGUGUCUGGCUGACUGGGUCUCUGGGUCUUCCCUCCCUCCCAGUGCUUAUCCUCAGGUGUCUGGCUGACUGGGUCUCUGGGUCUUCUCUUCCCCCCAGCACUGAUUCUCAGGUGUCUGGCUGACUGGGUCUCUGGGUCAUCCCUCCUCCCAGUACUGAUCCUCAGGUGUCUGGCUGACUGGGUCUCUGGGUCUUCCCUCCCUCCCUGUCCUGAUUCUCAGGUGUCUGACUGACUGGGUCUCUGGGUCUUCUCUCCCUCCCAGACCUGAUCCUCAGGUGUCUGGCUGACUCGGUCUCUGGGUCAUCCCUCCCUUCCAGUACUGAUCCGCAUUUAUCUGGCUGACUGAGUCUCUGGGUCUUACCUCCCUCCCAGUCCUGAUUCUCAGGUGUCUGGCUGACUGGGUCUCUGGGUCUUCCCUCCCUCCCAGUCCUUAUCCUCAGGUGUCUGGCUGACUGGGUCUCUGGAUCUUCUCUUCCUCCCAGCACUGAUUCUCAGGUGUCUGGCUGACUGGGUCUCUGGGUCAUCCCUCCCUCCCAGUACUUAUCCUCAGGUGUCUGGCUGACUGGGUCUCUGGGUCAUCCCUCCCUCCCAGUACUGAUCCUCAGGUGUCUGGCUGACUGGGUCUCUGGGUCAUCCCUCCCUCCCAGUACUGAUCCUCAGGUGUCUGGCUGACUGGAUCUCUGGGUCUUCCCUCCCUCCCUGUACUGAUCCUCAGGUGUCUGGCUGACUGGGUCUC